rnacentral:lncRNA from 1 species
UAGUGGAUAAUAUAAUAGGAAAUAUCAUGCAAAUGAGAACAAUCCUAAAAAUAAAAAUAUACAUGAAAAUGUAAUGGAUAUCAUACAAAAGACGAACCUAAUGCAUGAAUGAUCUACGGGUCUAGCGUUGGAUUGGCCCAUUUCUGAAAAAAAAAUCUUUACUAGCAUUGGACUAGCAAGUAAAUGGAGGGAGAAACCACAACUAGCAUUGGACUAGUGUGGUGACGUCAUGCCUUCUUAACACAUAAUAAGAUAAAUAAGGCAAAAAUUAAAAUAAAUAAAUACAUAAAAGCACGUAGCACGUAACACAUGAUAUCUAAAUACAAAGACCCUAAGAAAACGAGUAAACGCGUAAAUAUACAAGUAUGCAAACACACAAAGCAAAUAAGAGCAGAUAGAGACCUAACUAUUACAAUUUGCCAUUCAAUUGCCUUUUAAAUAAUCAUCAAAAAAUGAAUUGUAAAACUUAAAAUAUAACAAGUAAAUAAAUAAAUAAACACUUAAGCCAUGCAAUUACACAUAAAACACGUAGGAUCACAGAAAAGAUUUUAAAUUAUGAAAGAAAAUACCUCCCAUUGAAGUAGUAGCUAAUUGAGUUUGGAUUUGCCCUAUUUAACUCCAAAAUUAACAAAAAUCAUCAAGGCACCCAUUUAAUCAACAAAUAAAUCAUUAAAAAUGGAAAUAAACAUGAAAUCAAUCAACUGAAAUAUUCAAAUGGAAUAUAAUUCAUAAUAAAAAAGGAAAAUCAACUUCUAUUUAAGAAAUCAAAUCUGUUAGGGACCUAAUUGCAAAAAUUAACAAAGUUUUAGGGAUCAAAUUAAAUUAUCACAAAGAUUUGGGGUCAAAAUUAAAGAAAAAUAAAGUUUAGAGACCUAUUUAUAAUUAAAUUAGGAAACUAAUUGAAAGAAACCUAAAGUAUUUAGGACCACAAUAUCAUUAUUCAAAAAUCAAGGGACUGAAAUAUAAUUUCGUAACCCGAUUCUUAGCCAAAUGGGCCAUUGGGCCACUCUUAUUAAUUAUUUGGGCCAAAGACCAUCAGGUCCAGACAAAAGUCCAAGGAAAAACCGUAGUUUUAUCCAAAAAAUCAACCCAAUCACAAAUGCAUGGGCUCUAGCCUCCUAAUCCAAGCCAAAAAUCCCAAUAAAAUAAACUAAAACCCAUUUCUAAAACCCAAACAAAAUCCACCUAACAAACCUCAACCAAAACCUCCAACUAUUUUACCAAACCCAAUCAAAAUAAUAAAUCUAUCAAAAUUAUUAAAUCUUAAAUUUCAUCCUAAAAUUCAUAAAUAAUCUGUAAAAAAAAAUCAUAUUAAAAAAUGGCAGAGAAAAUUCAAAUUUAAAGGGGCAGAAUUGAUUAUUUGCAGAAGUUUUUGAGCCACAGUGAAAUUAGGUAAAAAUUGGGGGGGAUCAAAAAUGAAAUUUUCAGAAAAUUCAUGCAUCCUGCCCAAAGCUUUCUUCUGCAGUUUCUGGGUUUGCUUGUCCGGCUAACUGAAGCUCCGACAGCCACGGCGGUGCCGACGCCUGUCGCCGGCGAUUUCUCCGGUCGCCAAAAAUUACCAAAAUACAUACCCCCAUUCGAUUUUUGAAGUAGAUUUCAUUUUUGAAGUUAGUUUUUACAAAAAAUGACCCAAGAGUGGCCAAAAGAGCUAAAGUCAGUCCAGUUUUUUUUUAAACACUCAAAUCUUCAUCAAAAACCACAAAAAUUUAUACUACCAUACUCCUUGCAACUUCUAGAAUACAACUAUGAUUUUAAAAUAAAGCAAAAUAGGCCCUAAAAUUCGUUUUUUUUUUUUUACAAAAAUUAGUUCCUUUUCCCUAGUCUAAUUCAAAUCAUUUUCCAAAUUUUGAACAAUAGAACAAUAACAAUGAAAGACCACAAAAGCCAGAAAAUUAAACGAUAAAAUAUGGCUUUAACAUGGUUAACAAAAAAAUGGAAAAAAAAAUACCUCAAUCCAAGCAAGAGUUUCUCGGUCAAAAUUUUGAAGGGACUCCCAGGCUUCAAUCCUUUGUUGCUUGCUUUGUUGUGUUUAAAUUGUGUGUGGGUGUGUUGUGUGAAUUGAGAAAAUGGAGGGAUAGAGUCGAAAAGAUCAGAGAAAUUUUUUUCUCCUUCUUUCUCUCUGUUUUUUUCUUUGUUGGCAGCCUAAGCCGAGAGAAGGAGAGAGUGAGGGCCUAUCUGCAAAAUUUUCUUCUACUUAUGUCCAUUGAGCCAGCCGAGAGAGGGAGAGAGUGAGAGAGUUUUUCUCUUGCUUUCUUCUGCUUUUUUUUUUCUUUUUCUUU